CAGAUCAGUUCCAGUCUCUUCCACAAGACAUUCCCUGAUCUCUCCCCUCAAUUCCUGGACUACUUUUUUGUAUUACCCAUUUGCCACUUAGAUGACACUGCCUUAUACAAUCCUGACUCCGUUGAUUUGCCACUUGAAGGAUUCUCUAUCUGUCAGUCUAGAAGCUCCUUUCCCUGAAGAAAAAGAAAAAGAAAACCAAAACCAUUGUCAGAGAUAUCCAGAAUAAAAGCAAUACAAAACCCCACAUUUAACUACAGACUUUUCAAAAAGCCAAGGCAACAUUUCCAUGAACUAAAGGAAAGCUGGAUUCAAGACAAUAGAUGGAAUCAUGAAGAAGUCUUAAUUUCAGGAAGAUAACUCGGAUGUCUAAUUGGGACAAAGCCAAGUACUAUAGCUACCUGAUUGAGGUCUACAAUUACUUGCCUACAUAGUUUGUAUUUGUCACUAUUUGUAAUAAAGUAGUUGCUGUUACACCAAAAACCAUUAAAAAAAUCUCGACUCCAUCAA